GGUUAACGCUGGCGGCGUGCCUAACACAUGCAAGUCGAACGGUUCUAAGCGCGAGCUUAGGAUAGUGGCGAACGGGUGAGUAAAAGGUAGGAAUCUACCCCUUGGACGGAGAUAGCUACUGGAAACGGUAGGUAAACUUCGAUAAGCCCGAGAGGGGAAAGUGGUGAGACAGCCGAGGGAUGAGCCUACUCUCCAUCAGGUAGUUGGUGAGAUAAAAGCUUACCAAGCCGAUGACGGAUAACCGGUGUGAGAGCAUGAACGGUCACAAGGGCACUGAGAGACGGGCCCUACUCCUACGGGAGGCAGCAGUGGGGAAUCUUGGACAAUGGGCGAAAGCCUGAUCCAGCGACGCCGCGUGGAGGAAGAAGUCCUUCGGGAUGUAAACUUCUGAACUAGCCGAAUAAAAGGACCUGUGGACACACAGGAGAAGAAAGUAGGCUAGGAAAAGUACCCGGGCUAACCUCGUG
rnacentral:rRNA from 1 species